rfam:Staphylococcus sp. HGB0015 genomic scaffold aczIz-supercont1.2, whole genome shotgun sequence.
UAAGACUACUAGGGGCGCCUUAUGGCUGAGAUGAAUGGCAAUUCAGACCCUUCGAACCUGAUUUGGUUGAUACCAACGUAGGGAAGUAGCGGUAUAACAUC